CACAUCCUCAUGGCUCUGUUUUCAGGCUUUAGAAAAUCUAGCCCGUGACGGGAGUCUUUGACCAAUCACAGGUCAUUUCAUUGAGAGAGCGUUCCUAUUGGCUGUGCUCCGGUCAUGUGACCGGAACUUGACGUUCCUUCAUCAGAUUUAACUAUGGCGGUGGCGUCAAAUAC